rnacentral:lncRNA from 1 species
AAGCCUACAUGGCAAGGAACCGAGGGAGGCCUCUGGCCAGCAGCUUUUGAGGAACUGAGGCCUCAGUCCAACAGGCUGUGAGGAACUGAAUCCUGCCAACAAUCAUAUUAGCCCUGAGCUAACUACUGCCAAUCCUCCUCUUUUUGCUGAGGAAGACUGGCCCUGAGCCAACAUCCAUGCCCGUCUUCCUCUACUUUAUAUGUGGGACGCCUACCACACCACGGCUUGCCAAGCAGUGCCAUGUCCGCACCUGGGAUCUGAACCGGGGAACCCCAGGCCGCCGAGAAACAGAACGUGCGAAUUUAACCGCUGCGCCACUGGGCCGGCCCACUUAGUCCCAUUUUAUAGCUGAAAAGCACGCUGCUGUGGAGCAGGGGAGGUACCAGGCCGUCCUGCCCCUGAAGAGACAAUGCUGAGAUGGUGUCCCGGGACGCUUCACUGCAGCGAUUGCACUUCCCAAGCUUCCCCUGGUUUCUGGGACUUGGCCUCUGCUACAACAUUUGGCAGUCUGCUCUCGGCUUUCUCUCUGCCAGGGGGCUGAUCGUGUCCACAGUCCCUGGAAAGCUGUAGAGCUGUCUAGGACUCCAGACGUCUGGGAGGAGUUAAAGGAAGAUUAGCCCUGAGCUAACAUCUGCUGCCAAUCCUCCUCAUUUUGCUGAGGAAGACUGGCCCUGAGCUCACAUCCGUGCCCAUCUUCCUCUACUUUAUAUGUGGGAUGCCUACCACAGCAUGGCUUGCCAAGCAGUGCCAUGUCUGCACCUGGGAUCUGAACCAGUGAACCCUGGGCCACCGAGAAGCGGAACGUGCACACUUAACUGCUAUGCCACCAGGCCAGCCCCUCCAGAAUCUUUUUAUCUUGCAGAACUGAAACUCUAUACCACUUACGCCAUUCCCUUUUGCCCCCUCCCUU